UCUGGUUGAUCCUGGCGGAGGCCAUUGCUAUUGGGAUUCGAUUUAGCCAUGCUAGUCGCACGAGUUCAGACUCGUGGCGAAUAGCUCAGUAACACGUGGCCAAACUACCCUUCGGACCACAAUACCCUCGGGAAACUGAGGCUAAUAGUGUAUACCACAGUCCACCUGGAAUGAGGACUGUGCCAAACGCUCCGGCGCCGAAGGAUGUGGCUGCGGCCGAUUAGGUAGACGGUGGGGUAACGGCCCACCGUGCCAAUAAUCGGUACGGGUCAUGAGAGUGAGAACCCGGAGACGGAAUCUGAGACAAGAUUCCGGGCCCUACGGGGCGCAGCAGGCGCGAAACCUUUACACUGCACGACAGUGCGAUAAGGGAAUCCCAAGUGCGUAGGCAUAGAGCCUACGCUUUUGUCCACCGUAGGGAGGUGGACGAAUAAGGGCUGGGCAAGACCGGUGCCAGCCGCCGCGGUAAUACCGGCAGCCCGAGUGAUGGCCGAUCUUAUUGGGCCUAAAGCGUCCGUAGCUGGCCGCGCAAAUCUAUCGGAAAAUCCACCCGCUCAACGGGUGGGCGUCCGGUAGAAACUGCGUGGCUUGGGACCGGAAGGCGCGACGGGUACGUCCGGGGUAGGAGUGAAAUCCCGUAAUCCUGGACGGACCGCCGAUGGCGAAAGCACGUCGCGAAGACGGAUCCGACAGUGAGGGACGAAAGCUAGGGUCUCGAACCGGAUUAAAUACCCGGGUAGUCCUAGCCGUAAACAAUGUCUGUUAGGUGUGGCUCCCACUACGAGUGGGUGCUGUGCCGUANGGAAACCGCUAAACANACCGCCUGGG
rnacentral:rRNA from 1 species